ensembl:snoRNA
GGGGAGAUGAUGCAUCAUGUACAACUGACUCUCACUGAUGGUCUUUGUAUUCAUACUGUCUGAUCCUA